CCAGCACAACGGAGGAACAGGGUCGAGCAACAGAAAAACAAAAAUCAACAAUAUAUAUAAAAGCUCAAGAUGAUUAAACUCGGUCAGAUCACUGAGUAGGUAUAAGAGUGUAUGGACUCACAGAAGCCAGGUUCAUUAGAUAGCAUAGAUUGGGAUUGGCAAUAGGACCCAAGAAUGGAUUUCAACUCUGUUCACAAGGAUGCUUCACUUGGUUCUCUGGAGAAGCAGCUUAUCUGCCCCAUCUGCUUGGAGGUCUUCACCAAACCUGUGGUCAUUCUGCCAUGCCAGCACAACCUUUGUCGUAAAUGUGCCAAUGAACUUUACCAGCCAUCUCUGUUUCAGGUUGGAAUUGGGGGACGCUUUCGCUGCCCAUCAUGCCGGCAUGAAGUUGUUCUGGACCGCCAUGGGGUUUAUGGGCUCCAGAGAAACCUACUGGUGGAAAAUAUCAUUGAUGCCUACAAGAAAGCAUCUGCAAGCUUAAAGCCUCCUCCUCUAAAACCCCAGUCACAAAUUACCUGUGAGGAGCAUGAAGGGGAGAAGCUGAAUGUUUACUGCAUCACUUGUCAGAUUCCCACCUGUUCACUCUGUAAAGUGUUCGGGGCACAUAACUCCUGCCAAGUGGCCCCACUCACUGAGGUCUGCCAGCAGCAAAAGGUUGAACUCACUGAUGAGAUUGGAUCACUGAUCGCCAAAAAUGAGCACAUUCAAGCCUACAUUAAUGACCUGGAGGAGAUCUGUAGAACUAUUGAGGAGAACAGCCGAAACCAGAAGCAGAUACUGUGUGAGAAGUUCGAUCGGAUGUGCGGCAUCCUGGAAGAGAGGCGUAAGAUCAUGUCACAGCGAAUCACAUGUGAGCAGGAUGAGAAGACCAGCCAGGUUCAGAAUCUGGUUCAUACUUACAGUGAGCAUGUUGAUUCAAACGUGAAGUUGGUGCAAACAGCUUUAAACACCAUGGAGGAACCAGAGAUGGCUGCAUUUGUACAGACCUCAGGAGACAUUAUUGAAAAAGUCAGCAAUGCAACUACCUGCACCCUGACGGAGACCUUACAGCCCGGAUAUGCAAACAUGGACCACUAUAAAGUUGAUUUUAAUGCAGAAGAGAGAGCUCUCUGCCAGCUUGAUUUCAUUAAAACUGAAGAGGAAGUUUCAGCAGAGACUUCAUUAGAACCAGAACCUGAACCACAAUCUGAGCCAGACCCGGGGCCAGAACCUGAAACUGAGCCUGAACAUGAUGAAACAUACAGUCUGCUGGGCAGCCAUGUACCAGACCAUGAACUGAAGUCAGCAAACUGCGAGAUAAAAAAUGCUUUUUCUGAGACGAGAGAGGAUACCCGGGCACAAACAGAAUCCAUAGUGUUGCAGAGUCCAGUUUAUGUUCCAGCAGACAUACAAACCAGGGCACAAUCAGAGGCGUGUGCAGUAACAAAGAAAGAAGUUCUGUGCGAGAAAGGAGGGUUAAAUACACAGCAGGCCAUCAUCCAUAUACUUUACGUUCUGGCUUUUCUUGUCAUACUCCAGAAGGUGUUGGGGAGCAUUCACUGCUUCUUUUGCAUAUAGCACUGCUGGAAAAGUUACAGCUUUCAGGGUAAACCCUGCUCAAUGGGAGCCCAGGGCAGCAGAGAGAUGGAACAGUGCACUGAUAUAUUCACAACCACUCUCAUGCCCCCCUGUGGUAGGGAAAAAGAGGCAGCCAUAAAGUAGAGGGGAGAUUCAAGGUAGUGAUUUGUUGUCCACUCCAUAGCUACAGACUUCCACUGCGGACAGCUUGUUGCAGGAACCCAGCUCUCUUUCUGCAACAAAUCAGUCUACUUGGAUCAGCUUAUUCUUUUCCUGGCUGAACCCACUCACCAAGAGGAACUGAUAGCCAAACUCAAUGAGAAGCCAUCGAGCCCAGAAGUCAUUUGCCUGCCCCUGCUACUACUACUGUUGUAGUUGUGUGUAAUGUUAGUCUAAACUAGGUCUGAAUGCACUAUAUAUGUGAUAGGUGUAGAUCAGGUAUGUGUAAAAAGACUUCCAGCAUUGUGGAAAUGGUUUGAGAAGGACGAGUCCUUUCCUGUUCCAGCAUGACUGUACCCAUGUGCACACAAAUAAAGUCCAUAAAAGACACAGUUUGAUAGUGUGAUGUGAACAGCCUUAACCCAGUAUACCUUGGAUAAUUCUGGAUAUAGAAUUGGAUUGGUGAUUGCGAGACGGACCUUUUCUUACAUCAGUACUUGGCUUUACAUAUGCUCUAUUGACUGAAAAGACACAAACCCACAGAAUGUGAAAAACU